rnacentral:tRNA from 1 species
GGGAAUGUAGGAUAGGGGUGAGUCUCCCGGACUGUGAAUCCGGUCACGCCGGUUCGAAUCCGGCCAUUCCCACCA